rnacentral:rRNA from 1 species
GAUGAACGCUGACAGAAUGCUUAACACAUGCAAGUCAACUGUGGCGGACGGGUGAGUAACGCGUAAAGAACUUGCCUCACAGAUAGGGACAACAUUUGGAAACGAAUGCUAAUACCUGAUACUGUGAGAGAGCUUUGCGUCCCAUUGGCUAGUUGGAGAGGUAAUGGCUCACCAAGGCGAUGAUGGGUAGCCGGCCUGAGAGGGUGAUCGGCCACAAGGGGACUGAGACAGAGCCCGUACUCCUACGGGAGGCAGCAGUGGGGAAUAUUGGACAAUGGAUCAAAGUCUGAUCCACCAAUUCUGUGGGCACGAUGAAGUUUUCGGAAUGUAAAGUGCUUUCAGUUGGGAAGCGGUACCAACAGAAGAAGUGACGGCUAAAUACGUGCCAGCAGCCGCGGUAAUUC